rfam:Equine infectious anemia virus strain Liaoning, complete genome.
GGGGCUCAGGGGAGGCCCCAAAAACAAACUUUCCC